AACUUUCAACAACGGAUCUCUUGGCUCUGGCAUCGAUGAAGAACGCAGCGAAAUGCGAUAAGUAAUGUGAAUUGCAGAAUUCAGUGAAUCAUCGAAUCUUUGAACGCACAUUGCGCCCCUUGGUAUUCCGAGGGGCAUGCCUGUUCGAGCGUCAUUACACCAAUCAAGCCUGGCUUGGUAUUGGGCGACGCGGGGGAGACCCCGCGCGCCUCAAUGUCCUCGGCUGGGCCGUCCGCCUCGAAGCGUCGUGAUCAUUCAUUCGCUCCGGAGGGUUGGGCGGCUGCGCGCCGUUAAACAUUCAUUCAAGGUUGACCUCGGAUCAGGUAGGGAUACCCGCUGAACUUAAGCAUAUCAAUAAGCGGAGGAAAAGAAACCAACAGGGAUUGCCUUAGUAACGGCGAGUGAAGCGGCAACAGCUCAAAUUUGAAAUCUGGCGCAAGCCCGAGUUGUAAUUUGUAGAGGAUGCUUCUGGGCAGCGGCCGGUCUAAGUUCCUUGGAACAGGACGUCAUAGAGGGUGAGAAUCCCGUAUGUGACCGGCUGGCACCCUCCACGUAGCUCCUUCGACGAGUCGAGUUGUUUGGGAAUGCAGCUCUAAAUGGGAGGUAAAUGUCUUCUAAAGCUAAAUAUUGGCCAGAGACCGAUAGCGCACAAGUAGAGUGAUCGAAAGAUGAAAAGCACUUUGGAAAGAGAGUUAAAAAGCACGUGAAAUUGUUGAAAGGGAA
rnacentral:misc_RNA from 1 species